UACGAAGGGGGCUAGCGUUGCUCGGAAUUACUGGGCGUAAAGGGCGCGUAGGCGGACAGUUAAGUCGGGGGUGAAAGCCCGGGGCUCAACCCCGGAAUUGCCUUCGAUACUGGCUGUCUUGAGUUCGGGAGAGGUGUGUGGAAUGCCGAGUGUAGAGGUGAAAUUCGUAGAUAUUCGGCGGAACACCAGUGGCGAAGGCGACACACUGGCCCGAUACUGACGCUGAGGCGCGAAAGCUAGGGGAGCAAACGGG
rnacentral:rRNA from 1 species